CCCUUCGGGGCGUUUGAAAUAAAAUAAUGGAGAGUUUGAUCCUGGCUCAGAACGAACGCUGGCGGCGCGUCUUAAGCAUGCAAGUCGAACGGCAAGAGAGAAGCUUGCUUCUCUCCUAGAGUGGCGGACUGGUGAGGAACACGUGGGUAAUCUACCCUUAAGAUGGGGAUAGCUGCUAGAAAUAGCAGGUAAUACCGAAUAGUCUCAAUGGUUCAUAAGAAGUAUUGAGGAAAGGAAGCUACGGCUUCGCUUGAGGAUGAGCUUGCGUCCCAUUAGCUAGUUGGUGAGGUAAAGGCCCACCAAGGCGACGAUGGGUAUCCGGCCUGAGAGGGUGAUCGGACACAUUGGGACUGAGAUACGGCCCAAACUCCUACGGGAGGCAGCAGCUAAGAAUAUUCCGCAAUGGACGGAAGUCUGACGGAGCGACGCCGCGUGGAUGAAGAAGGCUGAAAAGUUGUAAAAUCCUUUUGUUGAUGAAGAAUAAGGGUGAGAGGGAAUGCUCAUCUGAUGACGGUAAUCGACGAAUAAGCCCCGGCUAAUUACGUGCCAGCAGCCGCGGUAACACGUAAGGGGCGAGCGUUGUUCGGAAUUAUUGGGCGUAAAGGGCAUGUAGGCGGUUAUGUAAGCCUGGUGUGAAAUCCUGGGGCUUAACCCUAGAAUAGCAUUGGGUACUGUAUAACUUGAAUUACGGAAGGGAAACUGGAAUUCCAAGUGUAGGGGUGGAAUCUGUAGAUAUUUGGAAGAACACCGGUGGCGAAGGCGGGUUUCUGGCCGAUAAUUGACGCUGAGAUGCGAAAGUGUGGGGAUCGAACAGGAUUAGAUACCCUGGUAGUCCACACUGUAAACGAUGUACACUAGGUGUUGGGGCAAGAGCUUCAGUGCCAAAGCAAACGCGAUAAGUGUACCGCCUGGGGAGUAUGCCCGCAAGGGUGAAACUCAAAGGAAUUGACGGGGGCCCGCACAAGCGGUGGAGCAUGUGGUUUAAUUCGAUGGUACGCGAGGAACCUUACCUGGGUUUGACAUCUAGUAGACAGUCUUAGAGAUAAGGCUUGGUAGCAAUACCCUGCUAGACAGGUGCUGCAUGGCUGUCGUCAGCUCGUGCCGUGAGGUGUUGGGUUAAGUCCCGCAACGAGCGCAACCCCUACUGCCAGUUACUAACAGGUAAAGCUUGAGGACUCUGGCGGAACUGCCGAUGACAAAUCGGAGGAAGGUGGGGAUGACGUCAAGUCAUCAUGGCCCUUAUGUCCAGGGCUACACACGUGCUACAAUGGUUGCUACAAAGCGAAGCGAGACCGUAAGGUGGAGCAAACCGCAAAAAAGCAAUCGUAGUUCGGAUUGAAGUCUGAAACUCGACUUCAUGAAGUUGGAAUCGCUAGUAAUCGCGCAUCAGCACGGCGCGGUGAAUACGUUCCCGGGCCUUGUACACACCGCCCGUCACACCAUCCGAGUUGGGGGUACCCGAAGUCGCUUGUCUAACCUGCAAAGGAGGACGGUGCCGAAGGUACGCUUGGUGAGGAGGGUGAAGUCGUAACAAGGUAGCCGUACCGGAAGGUGCGGCUGGAUCACCUCCUUUCUUAG
rnacentral:rRNA from 1 species